AGCAUACAACAUUAUUUUAACUCGGUUAUAAAUGUUUUUAUUUGAAAAAAUAAAUGUUCACUAAAUAGAUUUGUGGUAAACUUUGGCUUCCUAUUAUUUUAAUUCGAAAUGUGUGGAAAUCGUGUGUGUAUGGAGGCGUUUUUGUUAAAAUAUCAUAGCAUACCAUAGCAUAGCAUAGCAUACCAUAUCAUUAAGUCCUUCAUUUUAAUUUCUCAUAGCAUACAAAUCUCAUAGCAUAACAUGCAAAUCUCAUAGCAUAUCAUUAAAAUCGCAUACCAUAGCAUUGCAUACAAUUGUAAAAGAUAUGCAUGAAAUGACUGUACCAAAUAGAUUGUAUCAAUACAUGUUUUAGAGUCGAAAAUCAAAUGGCCGUUAUCUCCCAUGAAAAAUUGUCAUCAUUAAUGAUGUUUCAUCAUUUAAAAAUGCUUAUGCCACUGUUUUAUAAGUUAGCAAAGCAUGGGGUAUAAAACGGCCGAGGGUGCCCUGAAAACCUCUUAUAGAGUCUAUCAUACUAAAAUUGUAAAACUAUACAACUUGUUUUCUUUUAAGUUACGUGUGUGUAGUUAUUAUCAUAUUAUUGUUUGUACAUGUAAUAUGAUUUGCUAGGAAACGCAACUUAGCUGCAAAAUUUUGUAAUUUAGAAUGUUAUCAUUUAUUCAUUUGCAUGAUGUUUUGUUUAAUUCAUUGAAUUACAAAAUGUAUUGAUGUUUGUUAAUUUUUUUUCUCUUGUUAUAUUUGUUGCAGUUUUUUCAUAGUAAAAUUGGUGAACUAU
rnacentral:misc_RNA from 1 species